UGUGUGUGCCAUCAUUUCCCUGCAGGAUCCACUAUGCAGUCCUCAGCAGAUUUAAAUCAUGGAUGCUUUACAAUACUGCAAGUCUGUAAGUAAAGGAGAUGCUCUUCUGCAAUGGCUCACUUUUCUACCUUUGAUUGCGAAGUGAGAUGUGCAACACACUCUAGGAGCACCCCUCAUCCAGCAACUUAAUCUGAGUCCUCCCUUCAUUCUGCAGAUCUGAACUGUAUAUGAAAAGGAAAGCUUGGGAGGAAGACAUACUCUACCAUACAGUCCUUUCCUCUUUUCGUGGAUGGCAAAAUGAUACAUCACUUCCCGAAGCUUGUGUUAGAAGAUGCCCCUUCACUGGUGUGAGAUGCUUAAAAGGACAAUGA
rnacentral:lncRNA from 1 species